ACAAGAACAACAAUGAAUUUCAGCAUCAUCUUCAUCUGGACACUCACAGUGUUUGCUCAAGAGUGUAGAGGACAGUACACUGUUACUCAGAGUCCAUCAAUAACAGCAGUUCAACCAGGACAAAGUGUUCAAAUAAACUGUAAAGUCAGCAGUGCAGUGUAUGGUGGAACUUACUUAGCCUGGUACUUACAGAAACCUGGAGAAGCUCCUAAACUCCUCAUAUAUGGAGCAACAACCCUCAAGUCUGGAGUAUCAUCUAGAUUCAGUGGCAGUGGAUCAAACACAGAUUUCACUCUGAGCAUCAGUGGAGUUCAGACUGAAGAUUCAGGAGAUUAUUACUGUCAGAGUUAUCACAGUGGUGGUGUGUUGACACAAUCUCUCCCUUCCACAGUGUUGUCCUCCACCUGCUGCCUCUUCCAUCUCCAAGCCAUUGAGUCAGGAGUGGCCAAAGGUGAAGAGGAAAAGAAAUGGGCCUCCUGGUCAGCAGCAGAGCAGCUGCCGUACCAGACUGAGAUGCUGCUGGUGAGGAUACUCUCGAUGGCAUCCCUGGAUCACCUAUCCUCAUCCUACGAAGGAUAA